CUAAAGUGGACUAAUCGGGACUAUAUGGGUAUCAAAUGAAAGGGCUCCUGCCGCCAACUAUGAAGUUUAGCCCCAAUUGGACGCUUACUCUCCGUCCGUCGUAAUGUUUAAUGCCAUUUUCAAUGCCAAAAAGGACGACACUGAACACCUGCCUAGAGAGAGCUCUUUCUACUGGCAAGGACCAUAAAUUAAAAAUAAAUGAGUUCAUGAGGUUCAUCACGAUUAGCUAUUAAAGAAGGUGUCUUUUUCAUAUUGCCCAUCAUUUUGGUUCUAAGGAUAUAAUAGCACCCGCUGUAAUUUUUCUUUUUGUCUCAAUAUCACAAUACCGCACUUUCCACUCAGCUAGCUAUUUUUUUCGGCUCGUUUAGACUUAAUCAUGCUCUCGCUUGCUCACCUCCGGGUUGCUGCACUGCCAAAAGGAAAAAGAAAGAUUUUCCUUCUUGGGCCAGUUGCCUGUGUUGUCAUUUGUCCCAUCAUGGCGUACUUCCCAGCCAGAACUUCCUCUGAGGGGCCAAAUGACAACACAAAACCAACUGUCCUACUGUCGUUCAGACAGGGGUCGUGGUUUACCCAUAUCCGUUAUUGUCCUACUGCAAAUUUCGCCCAUGAACAGGGGCAAACUUCUCACAUAUCAAUGAGUGCAGUCCGAUUUACUAAUUACUUAAAUUUGAAUCGGACAGCAUUCAUUGAAAGUUUGUCCGCUUUCCUCAAACUUUAACUGGUUACGUAAAAAUAUGUUGCGUACUUUGUUGAGGCUAGUACUAGGUUUUUUUUUGGAAAAAUUUCCCUAAAUGGUUCUUUCGGUGGUUUGACAAGGUUACCA
rnacentral:sRNA from 1 species